rnacentral:lncRNA from 1 species
AUUGGCCCUCAGCAAAGUUCCUCCUCUCUCCGUAACUGGGACCACAGGCACAUGCCACUAUGCCUGGCUAAUUUUUUGUACUUUUUGUAGAGAUGGGAUUCAAGGGCAUUCUUGAAAUGACAAAAUUUUAGAAAUACAGAACAGAUUAGUGGCACCAGGGGUUAAGCAGGCAGUGGGGGCAGGAGGAAAGUGAGCGUGGUCAUGAAACAGCAACAGGAGGGACCCUCGUGGUGAUGGACGUGCUCCGUGUGUUGAGUGUCCGUGUCAGCAUCCUGGUUCUGUACACGUGGUGUUGCACCAGAGUUUGGUGGGAUGUUGCCUGUGCAGGGAACUGGCUGAAGGGCACAGAGGAUUGUUCUCUAUUACUUGUUACCACUCAUAUGUUGGGGAAACAGUGGGCAUCAAGUUCAGGGGCCCCAACUUUUCUAAGGAGAAACUGUAUACUUUUUAUUUCAUC